UACGUAGGUGGCAAGCGUUGUUCGGAAUUAUUGGGCGUAAAGGGUGCGUAGGCGGCGAGGUAAGUCGGAUGUGAAAUCCCGGGGCUCAACCCCGGAACUGCAUUCGAUACUGCUUUGCUUGAGUACUGGAGAGGAGACUGGAAUUUACGGUGUAGCAGUGAAAUGCGUAGAUAUCGUAAGGAAGACCAGUGGCGAAGGCGAGUCUCUGGACAGUUACUGACGCUGAGGCACGAAGGCCAGGGGAGCAAACGGG
rnacentral:rRNA from 1 species